GACGAACGCUGGCGGCGUGCCUAACACAUGCAAGUCGAACGGGGUAUUACUUCGGUGAUACUUAGUGGCGAACGGGUGAGUAACGCGUGAGAAACCUGCCUUUCAGUGGGGGACAACAGUUGGAAACGACUGCUAAUACCGCAUAAUGUUAUUUGGGGGCAUCCCCGAAUAACCAAAGAUUUAUUGCUGAAAGAUGGUCUCGCGUCUGAUUAGCUAGUUGGUGAGGUAACGGCCCACCAAGGCGACGAUCAGUAGCCGGCCUGAGAGGGUGAACGGCCACAUUGGGACUGAGACACGGCCCAGACUCCUACGGGAGGCAGCAGUGGGGAAUAUUGGGCAAUGGGGGAAACCCUGACCCAGCAACGCCGCGUGAAGGAAGAAGGGCCUUCGGGUUGUAAACUUCUUUACCAGGACGAAUUUGACGGUACCGUGGAGAAAAGCAACGGCUAACUACGUG
rnacentral:rRNA from 1 species